UACGUAGGGACCGAGCGUUGUCCGGAAUCAUUGGGCGUAAAGAGCGUGUAGGCGGCCUGUUAAGUCUUGCGUGAAAUCUCGGGGCUCAACCCCGAGCGGUCGUGAGAAACUGGCAGGCUAGAGUGCGGAAGAGGAGAGUGGAAUUCCUGGUGUAGCGGUGAAAUGCGCAGAUAUCAGGAAGAACACCCGUGGCGAAGGCGGCUCUCUGGAACGCAACUGACGCUGAGACGCGAAAGCGUGGGGAGCAAACAGG
rnacentral:rRNA from 1 species